AGAUUUUAAUACAUAUAACAGAUUGACAAAGGUAACAUGGCCGGUCGAAUCUGCGAGAUCAGAGUAGAUUUAUAGGUCAAUUAAAAUUUGCAAAUUAGUGGAAUCUUGUCAUUUUGGACAACCAAAUUAAUGAAGUUUUUCAGUGGGAUAAGCAAUAUUUGGAAGGAAGUUACCCUGCAAUUACAUAUGGCAUUUGACCUUAAAUUGAAAACAGCAAACACACCAAAUCCCUUUUGUAUUUGCAUACGCAUCCCCGGCCUAUAUAUAUAAAACCACUUCCGCCACUCAUCAACACCAAAUCCCCAUUACUUGUUCUUUCUUCUCUCUCUCUCUCUAUCUCCCUCUCUCUCUCUAACCUCUCCAUCCAAAGAUCCGAAAUGGAUCUCGAGGUAGUGGGCCGCCACGCACUGCUCUUCGACGACGACGCCAUGGCGGCUUUCGUUAACUCCGCUGCCGCGCUUGUAGAUUGGAACUCCCUCUCUAUAGACCGCUACGACGUGCGUCACCUACUGCCCUCUCCUCCUCCACCGCGAAAUCGCCGCCGCCAGCAACGUUCUCCGUCUCCGAAUCUUGACGAUUCUCUCGAAUCCGAGCUCGACUACGAGCGCUACCUCGAUCUACCCUCAGCAUCCGAUAAGCAAGGUAAUAAAAUUUUCCAUUUUAAUGACAUUAAUUUGCAUUUGGUAUUUAUUUUCUAUGUUGUGUACAAAUGAUGAAUAUGUUGAAAGCACUUGAUUAGAUUUAUUAUUAGAGAAUUUAAAAUUAUUAGACCAUUAUUGCAAAUACUAAGCUAUAGCUUUAGUUUAUAACAAAUUUGUUUAUGGAUAAAGGAUAAUGCUUUAAUUUAGUGUAAGUUGUGCUGGAUAAGCUAGAGAUUACACCUGUCGUCUUGCUGGUGUGUCUUUGGUCUUUUAGGUUUUAAGGGAGCUGUAGUGCCUUUUAACUCGGUUACUCAGUUUUUGUUCUUCUCAUCAUAUUGUGUGCUGGGGAUAUGUAUUAUUCUGAUGGCUAUUCCUUGUGAGUUGGAAAUUUAAAUUACUAGAUAACCAUGAGGGUAUGUUCAAAGGGAAGUGGAGGGAAAUGAGGAGAGCUUUAAUUUCUCCAAUCCAUACUAGUAUGGAUCAUAGAAAGAAUCAAAAAGCAAUGAUAAGCUUAGAAAUGUUGUGGAUUUAUAAGAAGAGGUCCCUCUUUCGAAACAAUCUCCUGCUUUUUUGAUAGAAAAGAAAUAGUGGGAUGACAACCUAUAGUUCUUAUUCUCUUCUUCUCCAUUUUCUCAUCUUAUGUAAAUAUCCGAACAAUGAGUAAGUUAUUACUAGUUUUAUUUUUCUCAAAAUAUCCUGCUUUCUUUGGGAGAAAAGAAGGAUCAGGAUGAUAACAUAUGGUUCUCAUUCUCUUCUCAUUUAAAUAUCCAAAAUAAUGGAAAUUAUUCAUUGCCUGUCCAAUUUGCUUGUUCUUUCUACUUCUCUUUCAAUCCAAAUGGAUUUUAGUGUGCAAUUUAGUUACUUUUAUUGCUUCUACUCGUAUGAAGAUUCAAGGAAAAAUGUUUUAAGUGGAUGCCAUAUAUAGUUUCCUCAUGGAUGGAUUAUUGUGCCGCUAUAUCUGAGAUUUAAUUUGUAGUUGGGUGCUAUACUACCAUGUGCAGUUAUCAUUGAAUCCAGUCAUACAUCUAACCAGUUUAUGCACAUUUUUAAAAUGGAUUUUUCUGAAAGAUAGUAUUCAGCUGAACGCUGGAAUUUUUUUUUUUCCUUGUGGGGUUUGUGUGAAUGUUCUACAUUCUGGAUUGCUUUUCUAAGUUGCAGGAUCAGAUUUUGUUUACUAAAGUUUCAUCUUUCAGGGUGCCAAGUAAGAAUUUCCUUUCCUCAUUCUUGUGUUUCCCUUUUCCCUUUUACCUUCUUCUGUUCUCAGUGUUCAUGUUCUUCUGCCAUUUUUAUAUACUGGCACUAUCAUCACUGGCAGAUUGUCUUAUAUUUGUUUGAUUCUAAUUUAUUAUUAUUUUUUUUAAUUUUUUGUCCUUUUCAGAUUUAGGAAAUGAAGCGGAAAGGAAUGAUGCUGAUGGCUAUCAUAUGGUUGCCUUUUCAUAUGGAGCCUCUAGUGAAUCAACUGACCAGAAGAAUACAGAUACUGAGUCUAGUUUUCAGCCACCCUUCUCAGUGCCUGAACAGUUAAUGCAAAACCUGGUAGGUAGAUGCCCUUCUCGCUGUUUACUUUCUGCGUUUUGUAUUUGUCCUGAUGUUGUUUGUUUGGUGCUUAUCUAGUGAGCCAACUUGAUAGAUGUCUAAGGUGCAUGUGUUUUUCUAAGGCUUACCAUGUCUAAGUUUCAGAUGCUCGGAGCAGGGAUGGGAGUUCUUCAAGGUUGCCAUUCACAGGCACCUUGUCUUCUUUUGAUGUCUUGACAAGGGGCCGCACAGGUGGGAUUAGGAUGAUAGAAAUUCAAUACUUUAUCAGGCAUCCUCUGGAGAUUGGAGGAUAGAUAUCUUUGUAGAGUUCAGUUUCUUUAUCUUAAUGGUUAUCUAAAUAUAUGUGUAUGAAAAUCGGUGAUUUUUCUUGGGACAAUUUAGUAAGAUGUCUUUUUCCUGGCAUUCUGCUUUUCUUAAAUUUCCCAUUGUUCAGAGAUUUUCCCCCCUUUUUUUUCAGCCUCCAACAGAGAAGGUGCACCAAAUUAUUGCAAGGACUGCCAUGUUUGUUAGCAAACAUGGUGGGCAGUCGGAAAUUAUUUUGAGAGUUAAGCAGGGGGACAACCCGACAUUUGGAUUCUUGAUGCCUGAUCAUAAUCUUCAUCCUUACUUCAGAUUUCUUGUUGAUCACCAAGAACUUCUGAAGUCUGACAUUGAUGGCAAAUCUAUAGAAGAUGAGAACAAAAUUGAGAGUGGUGAUCAGAUGGGUGGUGCAUUGUCAUUGCUUGGUUCUGUAUAUGGGUCUGGAGAAGAUGAAGAAGGGGCACAUGAAGAUGCCCCAGCAUUUACCAAAAAUGAUUUUGAAGAAUCUGUUAAUGCUGCUGAUAAUGCAACCAUUUCUCAUGGAUCAGAACAAAACAAUCCUUCUUUAAAUGCAGCUGGGAAAGAUGAUUCGGUUUCCAAGCCUCCAUUUUCUUCUUUGAAAGAAAGGUCUCAUGUCGUAAAGAGAAAUCGUUCCAUCAGUACAGUCAAGGUGGGAACCACUACUGGGGUAAAGAGAGAUGGUGAUUCCACAACUUCAGUUUCCUCUGCUGUGGAUAAGUUGCAGCCUUUCAUCUCCCAUAGCCUGUCCAAGGUUGAGCCUUCUAUUUUGGAGCCUCCAGCUGAUUUGAAGAGAGUCGUUGAUAAGAUAGUUGAGUUCAUACUGCGAAACGGAAAAGAAUUUGAGUCUGUUCUGGUUCAGCAGGACACUAAACAUGGGAGAUUCCCAUUCCUUCUGCCAACCAACCAAUAUCAUCCUUAUUAUCUAAAAGCUCUCCAAAAGGCUCAAGAGUCGAAGUUAGCUGGCAAGAGCUUCAUUUCAGAGAAACUUGAUUCACUAGGGCAUGGGAUGGACAGGAAAACUGGAACCAAAGAAAGUGAUGCCCUGUCCUUGGCAUCUGAUAUACCAUAUGAGUCUGACAGGAAAGAAAAGUUUAAAAUGGUAAUUGGAAAGUCAAAGAAGGAUGGACAGGACCUACCUUCAAAAAUCACCCAGCCACAAGUUGGAGUUAGUGUGGAUGCUGCUGCUGCUAUUCUUCAGGCUGCCACAAAAGGCAUUAAGAAUCCCAACCUGGAAAUGCUAUCUAAGACCAUAAGUGGUAUUGGUCAUGGUCCUAGCAGUGAAGCUGGAGACAGCCUCCUUUCAUCUUGUCCUCAAAGUUCCAACCAGAAGUCAGACAAGAUUUGGGAGCAUGGUGUUUCUAUCCCUGUAGCUAAAGCCAUUGCAAAGACAAUGGCUGUUGCAGCAGCAAGUGAGGCUGAUUCCUCAGAAGCGAGGUUGACCAGAGAGCAGAAGUUGAAGGCUGAGAGACUGAAACGAGCAAAGAUGUUUGCAGCCAUGAUAAAAGGUGGUGCUGCACCAUUAAAAAGUGAACCAUUGCGAGGGUUAUCAGUAGAGCCAUCUGAAUCUGGGUUAUCAGGUUCUGAUUCUCAUGCUUUACAUCCUACAGCCCAAGAAAGGGAAAGUACAAUUCCAUUGGAAAUUGAUACUCAUAAUAGAAUUGAGAAAUCUGCUGAUGAAUAUAAUGAACGGCGAUCAAAGAGGAGCUAUCGUUCUAGGUCUAAAAGGGCUGAAGAUGAAGAUGAAGAAGAGGAGGAAUUGAAGGAUAACAGGGAUCACAAGCAUUCAAGGAAAAAGAGGCGUUCUCAUCGCUCUUCCCAUCGCAGCAGGGACAGACAUAAGCGCAGGAAAAGACAUUCCUCUUCUCAGGAUGGAGAAUCUCAACAUCAACACAAGAGCAGUAGCUCCUUGGAUGAACAUCAGCACAAGCAAGACAGCUCUUCUGAAGGUGGGUAUAGGCGAUCUAGACAUAAGCACAAGCAUGAUAGCUCAUCAGAUGAUGAGCAUAGACACUCU
rnacentral:misc_RNA from 1 species